rnacentral:snRNA from 1 species
GGACAUGAGGGCCAUCUGGCUGCAACUUCUGUCACCCAUUGGUCACCAGGGUAGAGUCAACUCACCGGGCUUGCUAGGCAGGUGUCUCUUUCCUCCCUUGUGGCUCCAUGUUUGUCCCUCUCAACUCUGCAUGCUUGGUUGAAGAAAAUGACUCUGACGGAGGAGGGCUACUCUUCACUCCAGGGUUUACAGC